rnacentral:ncRNA from 1 species
CAAACUGUGAUGAACAGGACAUGACCUUUACUCACAUGUUUUCAGAGAGCUGUCGGCUGGUGUGAGACAGUAAACAUAGAAUAAAGGCUAUCCCCUGCAAACAGCAUGAGUGAAUGACUUUUGUUUAGUAAUCCAUGCCGGAAUCCUCCGUUAACGGGACACACAUUUUCUGAACGAUCAGCGAUGUGAAUGAGUGGUCGAUGUUUAUCGGCAAGAGAAGUGGUAACGCGGAGAAUAUUUCUUCGUCUUCUUA